rnacentral:rRNA from 1 species
UACGGAGGGUGCAAGCGUUAAUCGGAAUUACUGGGCGUAAAGCGCGCGUAGGCGGCUGCCUAAGUCGGAUGUGAAAGCCCCGGGCUCAACCUGGGAACUGCAUUCGAUACUGGGCGGCUAGAGUAUGAGAGAGGGAGGUAGAAUUCCACGUGUAGCGGUGAAAUGCGUAGAUAUGUGGAGGAAUACCGGUGGCGAAGGCGGCCUCCUGGUUCAAUACUGACGCUGAGGUGCGAAAGCGUGGGGAGCAAACAGG